AGCUGAUCGAGGUGGUGGCCUUUCAUUCCCCACACCAUAAAGCCCUUCAUCCCUCAGGUCCUGUUUCUUGGGAUUUCUUCAUCUCAAGGAGAGCAGCUGAAGACAUUUGCUCAAAUCUGCCUUGCUUAAUCCCUGUUUGGCACAACUGAGAUAUCCAGUGACAUUUCCACCUCCCUGCAGAACUGGAAUGCUAAAGAUCUGGAUGGCUGGACUCAUACAGGAGGUGAUAUAUAAAUAAAUCUGAGAACUGGAGAUGAUGAUGCCAGACAGAAUAUUAAUAAAAUCUCCUUACUCCUGCUUCUACCAUAUCUCUGGAGGUAAAGAAGAGAAUUUAGCUGCGUACCAGUUGCACACAAACUACUCCCUACUGCCAAAUGUUACAGACAAGAAGUUGCCAGGAAAGCAGUGCAUCUCAAGAAUGGCGGACAGCGCUGAAGUUGUGCAUCACAUCUUGUAGGUGUUCAGAUAUGGAAUUUAUUGUCCACAAAUAUUUUCUCAGUCACAUUUCUUAUUGAUAAAAUCUCAUGCAAAUGAAUAUCAAAGGGGCAUAUUCUGGCAAAAAGUAAUACAAAGAACAUGUGGGUGAAACUUCUUUAAACGUGUUUCUCUUUCAUUUCAAGAUUGAGUAGAGGUUUCUCUGUGCUUGAGCAUUUGUUACCCCUUAAAUUUAUAACACCCCCACAUCUCCUACUGUUCCUGGAGAGUGUGUCAACCUUUAAAUGAAUAAUUUAGAGCUAACUUAACUUUCCUGAGAACCGGUCUAAUGAAUAGAUGUAAAUGAUGCCCACUAGUUAUCACAUUCCAG
rnacentral:lncRNA from 1 species